CAGUAGCCGCGGGAAUACAUAGGGUGCAAGCGUUAAUCGGAAUUACUGGGCGUAAAGCGUGCGCAGGCGGUCUGUUAAGACAGAUGUGAAAUCCCCGGGCUCAACCUGGGAACUGCAUUUGUGACUGGCAAGCUAGAGUGUGGCAGAGGGGGGUGGAAUUCCGCGUGUAGCAGUGAAAUGCGUAGAUAUGCGGAGGAACACCGAUGGCGAAGGCAGCCCCCUGGGCCAACACUGACGCUCAUGCACGAAAGCGUGGGGAGCAAACAGGAUUAGAUACCCCUGUAGUCCCUGUCUCUUAUAC
rnacentral:rRNA from 1 species